UUCACAACAAUGGAUCUCUAUCGCUCCGUCUUCUGGCUCCUUAUAAGGACAUAGCAGCAAUCAGAAUUGCAACUAAAGGAAGCAACAGUUUGACCAGAUGUGAUAAGUGACGAUACACACUGUAGAAUAUUCAUAUCCUAGUUGGAACCAUACUCUACAGAACUGUGCAAAAGUUCUUUAAAAGUUGCUGGAACUUUUGUUGCCUGUUUCUGGUACGCCCGUAAAUUUGACGCACAAAUAGCAGCGAUGAUCAAGGAAGCCACUUCUCUUGUACAAGAUAACGUUAGCAAAGCUAGCAUCAACAGGAAUCUAGAUAAGUAGUGUCUUAAAGCCUCCAUUUGAAACAUUUCCUUCAAAUGUUUAGACAGGUUUUUGUCAUCUAUUCAUAGACUUUGACCAUGUGACAACCAGUCAGGACGCACAUUGAUAAGAAUUUGGUGUAAGGGCCAAGAAGUGAAACUUGUGCAAUCCUUUCGGCACCUAAUAUCCUCAGUGAAAACAAAAUACGUUCAUCAUUAUUGGUGUCUAUUUCUAGAUAUUUUUACCCCAAAAUAGGAUUUAAAUGUCAUUUAUCAGGUCAAUUAGAGGGUAACUGGUGUGAAAUAUUGCAGAUAUUAACUAGCUAUCAUCCACACCAACAUGUUUUAGGUCAAUUCUUUAAGCUGCGAUCGGUAUUUUACUUUUUUAGUAUAAAGGAUCUGUGUCCAAAUAGUUUGGACUUGAUAGCUGUUGCUGGUCACUAAGCUGCAUCUGAUUGAAGGUUUGCCAUUAAUCUGACAGCAAAGAGACUGCAGCCCUCUGUGGUCUGCUUGUAGCCGUCUGAAAAGAUAACAUCACUAAAAUCACGACUUUUCUCCAACACUAAACAGGGCUGGUAUGAAUGCAUCCUUAGGAUGUUUAAGCCCUGUUUAGGGCUUAAUUAAUCAAACUAGUUUGAUUAAUUGAUUGAAUCAAACUAGUUUGAAUUUAGGCACGAUUUGAAUGCAUGAUGUGAAUGCCAAGAGGACCGGAGACUGCUCCAAAAGAAGGAAGUGGACUAUAGUGUAGGGCAUUCUGGGUAAAUACAACAAAAACAAACUCGAUAUUGUAGAGCUAGCAAGAGAAAUGGCUUGAAAAAUCCUACAACCGUUAAAAUCUGAUGCCACUCUGUUUCCGUUUACAUUUUGUGA